GGGGGGUUAGUCCAAUAAAGACUCCUGAUUUCGGCUCAGACAACUGUGGUUUAAGUCCACAACCCCCCU
rnacentral:tRNA from 1 species